GAGUUUGAUCCUGGCUCAGAACGAACGCUGGCGGCAGGCCUAACACAUGCAAGUCGAGCGCACUCUUCGGAGUGAGCGGCGGACGGGUUAGUAACGCGUGGGAACAUACCCUUUUCUACGGAAUAGCCUCGGGAAACUGAGAGUAAUACCGUAUACGCCCUUCGGGGGAAAGAUUUAUCGGUGAAGGAUUGGCCCGCGUUUGAUUAGAUAGUUGGUGGGGUAAUGGCCUACCAAGUCUACGAUCAAUAGCUGGUUUGAGAGGAUGAUCAGCAACACUGGGACUGAGACACGGCCCAGACUCCUACGGGAGGCAGCAGUGGGGAAUCUUAGACAAUGGGCGCAAGCCUGAUCUAGCCAUGCCGCGUGAGUGACGAAGGCCUUAGGGUCGUAAAGCUCUUUCGCCAGGGAUGAUAAUGACAGUACCUGGUAAAGAAACCCCGGCUAACUCCGUGCCAGCAGCCGCGGUAAUACGGAGGGGGUUAGCGUUGUUCGGAAUUACUGGGCGUAAAGCGUACGUAGGCGGAUUGGAAAGUAUGGGGUGAAAUCCCAGGGCUCAACCCUGGAACUGCCCUGUAAACUAUCAGUCUAGAGUUCGAGAGAGGUGAGUGGAAUUCCAAGUGUAGAGGUGAAAUUCGUAGAUAUUUGGAGGAACACCAGUGGCGAAGGCGGCUCACUGGCUCGAUACUGACGCUGAGGUACGAAAGUGUGGGGAGCAAACAGGAUUAGAUACCCUGGUAGUCCACACCGUAAACGAUGAAUGCCAGACGUCAGGGGGCUUGCCCUUUGGUGUCACACCUAACGGAUUAAGCAUUCCGCCUGGGGAGUACGGUCGCAAGAUUAAAACUCAAAGGAAUGACGG
rnacentral:rRNA from 1 species